AUUCAAUGUCUGGAGCACACGUCGGCCACUCCACCUCGGGCGCUCUGAAGCCGGCCGCAUGGAGACUGGGGGACGGUGGUAGGAUGGUCCUAGACCCCUUCUCUCCAUUUCUGCAACCUUGGUGAAUUGAAAAGGGAUCAAUAUCCUUGGUCAGCUAUACCAUACCAGAUGGCCAAGGGACAGAGGAAAAAUGGCAGGGCAAACCCCCUUGGAUUUGCCCACGUGGAGUUUGGAUAUUUACCUGACUUCUUUGUCAAGUCUUGGGCCUGAUGCAGGUUACAGAAGUAUGGCCACUGGUUCAUGUAUUCAACAGUUCAGGGGAGCUGUCACCACCGAAGGAAGGAGGAUAGUACUGACAGGGCUGAUGGUAAUGAUGACAUCUAAUGUACAUGGAGCAGCUCCAUCUGCCAGACACUACUGGAGAAUGAAGAAAUGGAAGCAGGAUGUGUCAAGGUCUGAUGGACCUCUUUACCAUCUGGGGAAGAGGGAUGCCUCUAGUGGGAUGAGAAGCGGAACAGCAAAAGCCCAGGUCCAAAGGACACUCUGGAGGAAGUGAUUCUGCUGGAGAGACUCCAUGUGGCUCAUCCCGUACAAAAAGAAUUGUGUUGCUGCAGAUGGUGAGCUGGCUCAGUGGGGAAACGUGAUAGCCAUCAAGCCUCAUGACCUCAGUUUGAUUCC
ensembl:processed_transcript BC006965 cDNA sequence BC006965